rnacentral:rRNA from 1 species
UACAGAGGGGGCAAGCGUUGUUCGGAAUUACUGGGCGUAAAGGGCGCGUAGGCGGCCUUCUAAGUCGAACGUGAAAUCCCCGGGCUCAACCCGGGAACUGCGUCCGAUACUGGAAGGCUUGAAUCCGGGAGAGGGAUGCGGAAUUCCGGGUGUAGCGGUGAAAUGCGUAGAUAUCUGGAGGAACACCGGUGGCGAAGGCGACAUCCUGGACCGGUAUUGACGCUGAGGCGCGAAAGCCAGGGGAGCAAACGGG